rnacentral:tRNA from 1 species
GGUAAAAUGGCUGAGUUAAGCAUUAGACUGUAAAUCUAAAGACGAGGACAAGUCCUCUUUUGCCAAG